CAAAUGAGUGUUUUCAAAUGGAGCGUUUUGGAUGCAUUAGGAGUCAAUGGGAGCCAAGGGAAUGCUAUGGAGAUGGAUGCAACACUUCCAAGAGAGCCUAAGAGUGAUAUUUGGUUUUG